rnacentral:rRNA from 1 species
GUCGUCGGACAAAUAGGCGAUCGUUUACGGUGCGGCACGACAGUGGCCGUGGCGACUCUCUGGGUCACCAUGCACUGUCACUGUCGCAUGCAGCGAAACGCCUCCCUUUGUUCGGCAUCGGCAGGUCGGGGCCUCGUUGUCCGGUCCUAUUGCCGGCUGUCAUCGGCAGAGCCGUGUCGGGCUGGCGCGACGUCUUCGGACGCGUGCCGGUGCUCCGUGGACUGUGCGCGUUCGCGCGGCCACGGCCGGCCUGGUCUGCGGUGUAAUGCACAGCCGAUUGGCGAGCGACUGGGCGACGGCCAGCGCAAAUAUCAUCGACUCGCAAGAGUCGGCUCGGCCGUUGCGUCGUCACGUGCGGCCCGUCUUGAAACACGGACCAAGGAGUCUAACAUGUGAGCGAGCGAUUGAGAUUGUCAAAUCUCAAACGCGCAAUGAAAGUGAAGUGUCGUCUGACGGCACGAGCGGAGAUCCGCCGUCACGUGUGGCGGCGGCGCACCCGCGGGCCACGCCAUUGGCUGGCUUGCUCCUUCGCGGAGCACUGCUGAGGCGUGGACCUAGAGCCCACACGUUGGGACCCGAAAGAUGGUGAACUAUGCCUGGCCAGGAUGAAGCCAGAGGAAACUCUGGUGGAGGUCCGCCGCGAUUCUGACGUGCAAAUCGAUCGUCUGAGCUGGGUAUA